rnacentral:rRNA from 1 species
AGUCGAACGGAAGUCGUUAUAAAAAGGAUUGAGGAUUUAUCUGAUUGAGAUUUUAUAACAAUGGCUUUAGUGGCGGACUGGUGAGUAACGCGUGAGCAACCUGCCUACUAGAGGGGAAUAACAGUGAGAAAUCAUCGCUAAUACCGCAUAUGCCAUGAACAUCACAUGAUGAAAGUGGGAAAAGAGUAAUCUGCUAGUAGAUGGGCUCGCGUCUGAUUAGAUAGUUGGUGGGGUAACGGCCUACCAAGUCGACGAUCAGUAGCCGGACUGAGAGGUUGAACGGCCACAUUGGGACUGAGAUACGGCCCAGACUCCUACGGGAGGCAGCAGUCGGGAAUAUUGCGCAAUGGAGGAAACUCUGACGCAGUGACGCCGCGUAUAGGAAGAAGGUUUUCGGAUUGUAAACUAUUGUCGUUAGGGAAGAUACAAGACAGUACCUAAGGAGGAAGCUCCGGCUAACUACGUGCCAGCAGCCGCGGUAAUACGUAGGGAGCAAGCGUUAUCCGGAUUUAUUGGGUGUAAAGGGUGCGUAGACGGGAAAGCAAGUUAGUUGUGAAAUCCCUCGGCUUAACUGAGGAACUGCAACUAAAACUGUUUUUCUUGAGUGUUGGAGAGGAAAGUGGAAUUCCUAGUGUAGCGGUGAAAUGCGUAGAUAUUAGGAGGAACACCGGUGGCGAAGGCGACUUUCUGGACAAUAACUGACGUUGAGGCACGAAAGUGUGGGGAGCAAACAGGAUUAGAUACCCUGGUAGUCCACACCGUAAACGAUGGAUACUAGGUGUAGGGAAUGAUUUCAUUUUCUGUGCCGUCGCAAACGCAAUAAGUAUCCCACCUGGGGAGUACGGCCGCA